AGCUCUGCGCAGUGGCAGUAUCAUAGCCAAUGAGGUGUACCCAAGGUGCGAUUAUUGCUAAUUGAAAACUGUUCCCAAUAUCCCGCCAGGACGAUUUGCAAUAUAGUCAGCAUUGGCAAUUUUUGAUGGUCCCUAUGGGGA